rnacentral:rRNA from 1 species
GGCAGCCGCGGUAAUUCCAGCUCCAAUAGCGUAUAUUAAAGUUGUUGCAGUUAAAAAGCUCGUAGUUGAAUUUCGGGGUCAGUAGGUCGGUCGUGCCACUGGUAUGAACUGGUUUUACCGAUUCCUCCCUCUUGAAGAACUGUAAUGCCAUUAAUUUGGUGUUGCAGGGAAUCAGGACUGUUACUUUGAAAAAAUUAGGGUGUUUAAAGCAGGCUUUAGCUUGAAUACAUUAGCAUGGAAUAAUGAAAUAGGACGUUUGAUCCUAUUUUGUUGGUUUCUAGGAUUGACGUAAUGAUUAAUAGGGAUAGUUGGGGGCAUUAGUAUUCAAUUGUCAGAGGUGAAAUUCUUGGAUUUAUUGAAGACUAACUACUGCGAAAGCAUUUGCCAAGGAUGUUUUCAUUAAUCAAGAACGAAAGUUAGGGGAUCGAAGACGAUCAGAUACCGUCGUAGUCUUAACCAUAAACCUAUGCCGACUAGGGAUCGGAUGAUGUUAAUUUUUAAUGUACUUCAUUCGGCNCCUUACGGGAACCAAAGUUGUUGGGUUACG